CUCUCUCUCUCUCUCUCUCUCAGUUAGAAGAAAAAUCUUAUUUCGGAAGCAAAGCCUUUACAGGUAUGACAAACAUCUAUACAGUAAAAAAAUAAAUAAAAAAUAACAACAAAAAGUGAAUUAUAAAAACAAUGUACAUAAAGCAAUUCAUGUAAUUCUUCAAUUAUUUUCAGCCAGAGAGAGAGAGAGAGAGAGAGAGAGAGAGAGAGAGAGAGAGAGAGAGAGAAACAGCCCAAUCAUAUUAAACACGAAACUGGCGAGCAAGAAUUACUGGAUGGGCAUCGUAGAAGAGGUACUGGAAAGGAAUUACUGGAAAAGGCAUCGUAGGAGAGGUCCUGGAAAGGCAUCGUAGAAGAGUUACUGGAAAGGAAUUAGUGAAAAGGCAUCGUAGAAGUGCUACUGGAAAGGAAUUACUGGAAUCAUUGCACAAAAAAAGCAGCUGAAAAAAGUAAGGGGGGAAAAUCGACGGCCCCCCGGCCCC